AGAUUAAGUUAUUAAGGGCGCACGGUGGAUGCCUUGGCACUAGAAGCCGAUGAAGGACGUUACUAACGACGAUAUGCUUUGGGGAGCUGUAAGUAAGCUUUGAUCCAGAGAUUUCCGAAUGGGGAAACCCAGCAUGAGUUAUGUCAUGUUAUCGAUAUGUGAAUACAUAGCAUAUCAGAAGGCACACCCGGAGAACUGAAACAUCUUAGUACCCGGAGGAAGAGAAAGAAAAUUCGAUUCCCUUAGUAGCGGCGAGCGAAACGGGAAGAGCCCAAACCAACAAGCUUGCUUGUUGGGGUUGUAGGACACUCUAUACGGAGUUACAAAGGACGACAUUAGACGAAUCAUCUGGAAAGAUGAAUCAAAGAAGGUAAUAAUCCUGUAGUCGAAAAUGUUGUCUCUCUUGAGUGGAUCCUGAGUACGACGGAGCACGUGAAAUUCCGUCGGAAUCUGGGAGGACCAUCUCCUAAGGCUAAAUACUCUCUAGUGACCGAUAGUGAACCAGUACCGUGAGGGAAAGGUGAAAAGCACCCCGGAAGGGGAGUGAAAUAGAACCUGAAACCGUGUGCUUACAAGUAGUCAGAGCCCGUUAAUGGGUGAUGGCGUGCCUUUUGUAGAAUGAACCGGCGAGUUACGAUUUGAUGCAAGGUUAAGCAGUAAAUGUGGAGCCGUAGCGAAAGCGAGUCUGAAUAGGGCGUUUAGUAUUUGGUCGUAGACCCGAAACCAGGUGAUCUACCCUUGGUCAGGUUGAAGUUCAGGUAACACUGAAUGGAGGACCGAACCGACUUACGUUGAAAAGUGAGCGGAUGAACUGAGGGUAGCGGAGAAAUUCCAAUCGAACCUGGAGAUAGCUGGUUCUCUCCGAAAUAGCUUUAGGGCUAGCCUCAAGUGAUGAUUAUUGGAGGUAGAGCACUGUUUGGACGAGGGGCCCCUCUCGGGUUACCGAAUUCAGACAAACUCCGAAUGCCAAUUAAUUUAACUUGGGAGUCAGAACAUGGGUGAUAAGGUCCGUGUUCGAAAGGGAAACAGCCCAGACCACCAGCUAAGGUCCCAAAAUAUAUGUUAAGUGGUAAAGGAUGUGGCGUUGCCCAGACAACUAGGAUGUUGGCUUAGAAGCAGCCAUCAUUUAAAGAGUGCGUAAUAGCUCACUAGUCGAGUGACACUGCGCCGAAAAUGUACCGGGGCUAAACAUAUUACCGAAGCUGUGGAUUGUCCUUUGGACAAUGGUAGGAGAGCGUUCUAAGGGCGUUGAAGCAUGAUCGUAAGGACAUGUGGAGCGCUUAGAAGUGAGAAUGCCGGUGUGAGUAGCGAAAGACGGGUGAGAAUCCCGUCCACCGAUUGACUAAGGUUUCCAGAGGAAGGCUCGUCCGCUCUGGGUUAGUCGGGUCCUAAGCUGAGGCCGACAGGCGUAGGCGAUGGAUAACAGGUUGAUAUUCCUGUACCACCUAUAAUCGUUUUAAUCGAUGGGGGGACGCAGUAGGAUAGGCGAAGCGUGCGAUUGGAUUGCACGUCUAAGCAGUAAGGCUGAGUAUUAGGCAAAUCCGGUACUCGUUAAGGCUGAGCUGUGAUGGGGAGAAGACAUUGUGUCUUCGAGUCGUUGAUUUCACACUGCCGAGAAAAGCCUCUAGAUAGAAAAUAGGUGCCCGUACCGCAAACCGACACAGGUAGUCAAGAUGAGAAUUCUAAGGUGAGCGAGCGAACUCUCGUUAAGGAACUCGGCAAAAUGACCCCGUAACUUCGGGAGAAGGGGUGCUCUUUAGGGUUAACGCCCAGAAGAGCCGCAGUGAAUAGGCCCAAGCGACUGUUUAUCAAAAACACAGGUCUCUGCUAAACCGUAAGGUGAUGUAUAGGGGCUGACGCCUGCCCGGUGCUGGAAGGUUAAGAGGAGUGGUUAGCUUCUGCGAAGCUACGAAUCGAAGCCCCAGUAAACGGCGGCCGUAACUAUAACGGUCCUAAGGUAGCGAAAUUCCUUGUCGGGUAAGUUCCGACCCGCACGAAAGGCGUAACGAUUUGGGCACUGUCUCAACGAGAGACUCGGUGAAAUCAUAGUACCUGUGAAGAUGCAGGUUACCCGCGACAGGACGGAAAGACCCCGUGGAGCUUUACUGUAGCCUGAUAUUGAAAUUCGGCACAGCUUGUACAGGAUAGGUAGGAGCCUUUGAAACGUGAGCGCUAGCUUACGUGGAGGCGCUGGUGGGAUACUACCCUAGCUGUGUUGGCUUUCUAACCCGCACCACUUAUCGUGGUGGGAGACAGUGUCAGGCGGGCAGUUUGACUGGGGCGGUCGCCUCCUAAAAGGUAACGGAGGCGCUCAAAGGUUCCCUCAGAAUGGUUGGAAAUCAUUCAUAGAGUGUAAAGGCAUAAGGGAGCUUGACUGCGAGACCUACAAGUCGAGCAGGGUCGAAAGACGGACUUAGUGAUCCGGUGGUUCCGCAUGGAAGGGCCAUCGCUCAACGGAUAAAAGCUACCCCGGGGAUAACAGGCUUAUCUCCCCCAAGAGUUCACAUCGACGGGGAGGUUUGGCACCUCGAUGUCGGCUCAUCGCAUCCUGGGGCUGUAGUCGGUCCCAAGGGUUGGGCUGUUCGCCCAUUAAAGCGGUACGCGAGCUGGGUUCAGAACGUCGUGAGACAGUUCGGUCCCUAUCCGUCGUGGGCGUAGGAAAUUUGAGAGGAGCUGUCCUUAGUACGAGAGGACCGGGAUGGACAUACCUCUGGUGUACCAGUUGUCGUGCCAACGGCAUAGCUGGGUAGCUAUGUGUGGACGGGAUAAGUGCUGAAAGCAUCUAAGCAUGAAGCCCCCCUCAAGAUGAGAUUUCCCAACUUCGGUUAUAAGAUCCCUCAAAGAUGAUGAGGUUAAUAGGUUCGAGGUGGAAGCAUGGUGACAUGUGGAGCUGACGAAUACUAAUCGAUCGAAGACUUAAUCAAAUU
rnacentral:rRNA from 1 species